AUCGUGCACUGACUGAAGCCCAUCUCUGAGAGUUAAGACUCUACAGCCACAAGCUUUAUAUUACCAUUCAAUUCAUCAAAAGAUGUUCCCGAUGUGCGGUUGUUGUUUAUUGUGCCACGAUCAGUAGAUCCCAACAUGGUAGUCAGCGUGUGCACGGUAAGAAACCGCAGCUGCUCCCUAUCGUCGCGUAUACAAUGAUGGGGGAGGAAUUGGGCUUUGAUUUGCACUUAUUUUUCCUUUCUCAUCUUUCUUCCACUCUGCUGCCUGUUUUCCUACAAGUGGAAACUUAGAAGAGAACUUAUAAAGGGAAGGCGGAGAGCAAAGAGCAAAGAAUAGCAGACAGGCAGACAGAGCAAGAGAGUUGGGGGAAUUUAUUACGCUGAGUGAACAUUUAUCGGACAGAGUGUAUGUUGCUCUGUCAGUCACCAGCGACAAUACGCAAGCAGAUGUUGGAGACCCAUGAAUUAUGCUUCUUGCACUCGUUAGAUAGUCAUUUUAGUUGUUUGGAAUUGUCGGACUGUAUUUUAUGAUGGUGAUCUAUUCUUUCUGCAAUGUCUGGGCCACCCAAGUUCAUGUCAUUGAUCCAGGUUUAUGCAACUCAAUUCCUUCCCCAGGUCUUCUCCGUAUUGGAAGACUCUUUUUAUCUGGAAGACUGGAAACUUGCUAAAUCUUAUUGUUGGAAGGAAUCAAAGGAUCAAGAGGACCUAGAAGUUUCUUUCUUCAUAAUUCAACCAUUUCUCUAGGUUUGCCAUGGAAUCCAGAACACGAACCAGAUUUAAUCUUCCACAUUGAUAGGAUUCCCCCAAUAUAGAGGAUGCAUGAAAAUCAGCAUAAUCCUUUUAGUUAUGGUGCUGAUAUGGAUUGGUGUUUCUAAUUCAUUUAUUCCAGGGAAAGUUAAUUUUGUAGGAAAGCAAUCAUAUUUCACUGUAGUUCUGGACUGUGGAAGCACUGGUACUAGAGUAAAUGCCUAUGAGUGGUUAAAUAACAUCACAAGCAAUCAAGACCUGCCAACCUUGCUGCAUUCGCUUCCAGACCAUUCAACAAAGAAUCCUCUCCAAAGGAAUGCUUGUCGUGAUCACUGCAUGCAAGCUGAGCCUGCCCUGGAUAGCUUUCUGCAUAAUUCUUCUGGAAUAAGGGCAGCAUUGGAGACAUUGCUUCUUUGGGCACAGCAACAAAUACCCUCUGAGAAACUAGGAGAUACUCCACUCUUCCUUCUAGCUACUGCUGGAUUACGAAGGUUGCCAAAUGAGGAUGCUGAUUGGAUUUUGGAAAAUGCAGAGACUAUUAUAAAGGAAUAUCCUUUUUUAUAUACAAGAAGUUCAAUAAGGGUGUUAAAUGGAAAAGAAGAGGCUUAUUAUGGUUGGGUUGCCCUUAAUUACAAGAUGGGGAGCCUGGAAAACUCCAUGAAAGUUCCUACUUUAGGAGUUCUUGAUUUGGGGGGUUCAUCUUUGCAGGUGGUUAUGGAAAUAGAUGAAUCUAGAGAAGAUACACAUUUUUUCAUGUCAAAACUUGGCUCCAUUUAACACCAAGUUUUAGCAUACUCGCUGCCAUCGUUUGGCCUAAAUGAGGCAUUUGAUAGGUCCAUUGUUAUUCUAACUGGGGAGCAAUUUCCUAUGGAGAGUAUUGAUGGCAGAUUCAAACUUAGACAUCCAUGCCUCAGCUCAGGAUUCAUGCGAAACUACACUUGCUAUGGUUGCUUCCAGCUGAAUGCUACCAGUUGGCAGUUUUUGAGUGGUCAAUCACUGAGUAAUCAAUCUACUUCAUUUUAUUUGAUUGGGGAUCUGGAUUGGGAGCAGUGCAAAGGACUUGCAAAGGCUGCUGCCAUUGAUUUAACCAGCUCAGAUCAGUUGCAGUUAACAAUGGAUAUGAGAUGCAAACAACACUUACUUUCCUCUAAUGAGAAAACAGACAAGACUAAAAGGAAAAGGUAGACUGAUAAAACCCUUGCUUCUCAAACAAAUUCUCAAGUGACUGGAGCUGAUUCGAGGGAGCUCACCCUCCUGAAAUGGACUGAAAAGAGGGAGAAGAAGAAGAAGAAAAGUAGGGUUUUUCUCUUGCCUCAAAAUGAUUAUUACAAGAUAUUUAUAACCUCAUGUAGAGGUUAGAUAAUGAUGGCUAACUGUUUCUUGUUCAAUUCUCCUUACAUGGACGACGAACGUAAACAAACCUUGAGGGUGACGUCAAGCAACUAAUUUGAGGGAAGUUAUGGGUCUGGUGAUGGGCCUAGGCCUUCAGUGCUGGGCUGGUUGCCUUCAAGGUCAACGUUAGGAAAUUGCUACUGUAGUUGAUCAAAGUCCUCCCAUCUGGCAUCUUCGGGGGGGUUCUCAAAUUAAUUCCCCUUCAUAACUGGGGCAGCCAAGCCAAGCAUGGAUUCGAGAAACUGACGUGGAAUAUUGGAUGCAACUUAGACUCGACAGGAAGGUCCAAGUGGUAAGCUAUUGACUCAACGUGCUGUCACUUGAAAAGGCCCAAAGUAUUGUGGGCCCAAUUUCUGCGAUGGCUGAUUGGCCAUUGAUGUUUGCCUAUACGACUGAAGCUUCAAAUGGACCCAAUCACCCCUUGCAAACUCCAACUCUCGGUGCUUCUUUAUCAUAAGCCAACUUCGUACGCUGCUAGGCCUGGUGGAGGUGAAACUUGAGAUCUUUCAAUAUGUUGUCACUAGUUGUCAAAUGAUAUUCAACCACUGCCAUUGCGGAAGUGCCUGGUUCAUAAGGGAGGAUGGUGGGCGUAGGUACAUAGUGGUUGUUAAGACCAUCAAGGUAUAGAGGGUGUCAAAUCAAUGCUACAUGGAUAACUA